GACGAACGCUGCGGCGUGCCUAAUACAUGCAAGUAGAACGCACAGGAUGCACCGUAGUUUACUACACCGUAUUCUGUGAGUUGCGAACGGGUGAGUAACGCGUAGGUAACCUGCCUGGUAGCGGGGGAUAACUAUUGGAAACGAUAGCUAAUACCGCAUAAGAACAUUUACUGCAUGGUAGAUGUUUAAAAGGUGCAAAUGCAUCACUACCAGAUGGACCUGCGUUGUAUUAGCUAGUAGGUGAGGUAACGGCUCACCUAGGCGACGAUACAUAGCCGACCUGAGAGGGUGAUCGGCCACACUGGGACUGAGACACGGCCCAGACUCCUACGGGAGGCAGCAGUAGGGAAUCUUCGGCAAUGGGGGGAACCCUGACCGAGCAACGCCGCGUGAGUGAAGAAGGUUUUCGGAUCGUAAAGCUCUGUUGUUAAGGAAGAACGAGUGUGAGAAUGGAGAGUUCAUACUGUGACGGUACUUAACCAGAAAGGGACGGCUAACUAC
rnacentral:rRNA from 1 species